ensembl:lncRNA
CUGUCCUUGGUGAAGCUUUCCCCAGUAAGCCUGGAAUCUUCUGAUACAGCAUCUGCCUGCAUGUUGGACAUUCACAGGAUGACAUUUGGAAGACCUUGCUGCAGGGUUUUGUCUGAUAUUUAAGUUUGCAGUCUUCUAAGGCUCUACUCUAGGCUCUCAACCCAUGGCCUGGGUCUCCAUGCCCCCCAACUCCUCCACCACACAGUACAGAAAUGGACACUGCAAAUUUCUGUCUGAGGCCAGCCUUGGCAGCGGAGCCAACGAGAAGAGAAACAGCCUGUGCUCUAAUAAGUAAAAUAUUUAUGUCUUGCUUUGGCUAACAUACCCUCUCUCAAUAAAAUAUUUUUCCCAGGAGGAAAUCUAUGAAAGGGAGGGAGCUCCUUUAUUAUGUCCCCAAAUCAUUCUUUUCUGCUGCCCUUCAAAAGCCUGGAAAUCAAAGACCACUGUAGUCCAAAGCUUUUUGUUGCCGUUCUUGACUUUGUUAUCGUUAGUUAUUACAAUCAUUACAUUGAUUACCAUUAUGAGCUCUCAAGAGGCCCUGGCUAAUCAGCACCCCAUUCCAGGAAACGCUCUGACAAAUCUCUCGCAGCAUAUGCAUACACAAAGCUUGUAGUCUAAAAAGACCAGCUUAAACAGACUGUUAACCCG